AUUGAACGCUGGCGGCAGGCUUAACACAUGCAAGUCGAGCGGGGGAAGGUAGCUUGCUACCGGACCUAGCGGCGGACGGGUGAGUAGUGCUUAGGAAUCUGCCUAUUAGUGGGGGACAACAUCUCGAAAGGGAUGCUAAUACCGCAUACGUCCUACGGGAGAAAGCAGGGGAUCUUCGGACCUUGCGCUAAUAGAUGAGCCUAAGACGGAUUAGCUAGUCGGUGGGGUAAAGGCCUACCAAGGCGACGAUCUGUAGCGGGUCUGAGAGGAUGAUACGCCACACUGGGACUGGGACGCGGCCCAGACUCCUACGGGAGGCAGCAGUGGGGAAUAUUGGACAAUGGGGGGAACCCUGAUCCAGCCAUGCCGCGUGUGUGAAGAAGGCCUUAUGGUUGUAAAGCACUUUAAGCGAGGAGGAGGCUACUCUAGUAAAUACCUAGGGAUAGUGGACGUUACUCGCAGAAUAAGCACCGGCUAACUCUGUGCCAGCCGCCGCCGUAA
rnacentral:rRNA from 1 species